GCUUAACACAUGCAAGUCGAGCGAGAAUCGUUUUGCUGAAGGCUUCGGUCCGAUGCAGAAUGAGGAAAGCGGCGGACGGGUGAGUAACGCGUGGGCAACAUGGCGUUAAGAAAAGGAUAGCCCCCGGAAACGGGGAGUAAUACUGUAUGAGAAUAGAAAAGGGCAUCCUGUUUCUAUUAAAAGCGCAAGCGCCUAAGGAUGGGCCCGCGUAUCAUUAGCUAGUUGGUGAGAUAACAGCCCACCAAGGCAACGAUGAUUAGCCGGUCUGAGAGGGCAAACGGCCACAUUAGAACUGAGAGACGGUCCAAACCCCUACGGGAGGCAGCAGUGGGGAAUAUUGCGCAAUGGAGAAGAACUCUGACGCAGCAAUACCGCGUGAGCGAAGAAGGUCUUCGGAUCGUAAAGCUCUGUUAUCAGGGAAGAAGAAAAUGACGGUACCUGAUGAGCAAGUCCCGGCUAACUACGUGCCAGCCGCCGCGGUAAAAC
rnacentral:rRNA from 1 species